rnacentral:tRNA from 1 species
CAGGGAGACAACAAAAUGUUUAAUAUUAUUAUUUUGUCACCUUAGGUCGAUCGGUAUCUCACGUUCUUAAUUUAUCAAUUAAGAAUUUCAUUUCCUAAGUUUUUCUAGGUCACACCCAUUAUUUUUCCUGGGCCAUUAGCUCAGGUGGUUAGAGCGCACCCCUGAUAAGGGUGAGGUCCCUGGUUCAAGUCCAGGAUGGCCCAUAUCUCUAUGUUGGGGGUAUAGCUCAGUUGGUAGAGCGCCUGCUUUGCAAGCAGGAUGUCAGCGGUUCGAGUCCGCUUACCUCCACUGAUUACCACCUCUUCCAUAAUCUGUAGAAAGGAAUUAUUUUGAGCUGUGAUCAAAUUCUGAACGAAUCUAGCUUCCUAAUUAAAUCAUUAAGAUGCUGGACUCAUUGAAUUAAUUUCAUUGUUUUCAGAGAACCUUGACAACUGCAUAGAUUAUUUUUAAAGACAAUAAGCAUCUUUUAUGAUGCAGAUUUAUUAUUUGUGCGAAUGCAUUAAUAACAAUUCUAUUAAGCUGAUGCUUCAAUUUUGAAGUUAUU